GACGGAGGAUGCAAGCGUUAUCCGGAAUCACUGGGCGUAAAGCGUCUGUAGGUGGUUUAAUAAGUCAACUGUUAAAUCUUGAGGCUCAACCUCAAAAUCGCAGUCGAAACUAUUAGGCUAGAGUAUAGUAGGGGUAAAGGGAAUUUCCAGUGGAGCGGUGAAAUGCGUAGAGAUUGGAAAGAACACCGAUGGCGAAGGCACUUUACUGGGCUAUUACUGACACUCAGAGACGAAAGCUAGGGUAGCAAAUGGG
rnacentral:rRNA from 1 species